CCAGACUCCUACGGGAGGCAGCAGUGAGGAAUAUUGGUCAAUGGGCGCGAGCCUGAACCAGCCAAGUCGCGUGAGGGAUGACGGUCCUACGGAUUGUAAACCUCUUUUGCCGGGGAGCAAGCGUGCGUUCGUGAACGCGCGUCGAGAGUACCCGGAGAAAAAGCAUCGGCUAACUCCGUGCCAGCAGCCGCGGUAAUACGGAGGAUGCGAGCGUUAUCCGGAUUUAUUGGGUUUAAAGGGUGCGUAGGCGGUCCUGCAAGUCUGGAGUGAAACGCAUGAGCUCAACUCAUGCAUGGCUUUGGAAACUGGAGGACUGGAGAGCAGGAGAGGGCGGUGGAACUCCAUGUGUAGCGGUAGAAUGCGUAGAUAUAUGGAAGAACACCAGUGGCGAAGGCGGCCGCCUGGCCUGUUGCUGACGCUGAGGCACGAAAGCGUGGGGAGCAAAUAGGAUUAGAUACCCUCGUAC
rnacentral:rRNA from 1 species